ACGGGUGAGUAACACGUGGGCAAUCUGCCCUGCACUCUGGGACAAGCCCUGGAAACGGGGUCUAAUACCGGAUAUUGACCUUCACGGGCAUCUGUGAGGUUCGAAAGCUCCGGCGGUGCAGGAUGAGCCCGCGGCCUAUCAGCUUGUUGGUGAGGUAAUGGCUCACCAAGGCGACGACGGGUAGCCGGCCUGAGAGGGCGACCGGCCACACUGGGACUGAGACACGGCCCAGACUCCUACGGGAGGCAGCAGUGGGGAAUAUUGCACAAUGGGCGAAAGCCUGAUGCAGCGACGCCGCGUGAGGGAUGACGGCCUUCGGGUUGUAAACCUCUUUCAGCAGGGAAGAAGCGAAAGUGACGGUACCUGCAGAAGAAGCGCCGGCUAACUACGUGCCAGCAGCCGCGGUAAUACGUAGGGCGCAAGCGUUGUCCGGAAUUAUUGGGCGUAAAGAGCUCGUAGGCGGCUUGUCACGUCGGUUGUGAAAGCCCGGGGCUUAACCCCGGGUCUGCAGUCGAUACGGGCAGGCUAGAGUUCGGUAGGGGAGAUCGGAAUUCCUGGUGUAGCGGUGAAAUGCGCAGAUAUCAGGAGGAACACCGGUGGCGAAGGCGGAUCUCUGGGCCGAUACUGACGCUGAGGAGCGA
rnacentral:rRNA from 1 species